rnacentral:lncRNA from 1 species
AUUGAGUUUUAUUUUAAUUUCUUAUGAUAAUUUUCAAGUACGGGUCAUUGAGUUUUAUUUUAAUUUCUUAUGAUAAUUUUCAAGUACGGUUGGGAACCGUACCAUUUUCAUGAUCUUGGGGAAGCUUUAUAGAUUUAAGUGAUUUUGUAUGUUUUUAGUCACCAUACUAGGGUCACUCUUAUUCAUUACUAGCUAGCAUUUAUUAGCAGUCCUCACCAUAGGUGAGUCGAGUACUUAGCGUUGGAUGCUACUAUUGCUUGGGAGGCUUUGAUCAGUUUUAUUCAUUGCUAGCUAGCCUUUAUUAGCGGUUCUCACCAUAGGUGAGUCGAGCACUUAGCGUGGGACGCUACUAAAGGCUGAGUGUGGGACGCUACUAGAGCCUGGGAGGCUCCUCUUACAUGGUGAUAUCUCUUCCCCUUGUAUUAUUUUUCUCAUUUAUAUAAUUGAUUAACAAACAUGGCUGGUUUGUCUCUUCUUAUGAGAUUUUAGUCUUUGAUUAUCCAGCGGGGCUGGUUUGUCCAUUCUUACGUCACUACCAGGACAAGCACUUUAGCCGACAAAAAAGUUUCGUCGGCCUGUUAGCUUAAUUCGUCGGUUAAGAUCUUAGCUGACGAGCCUUCGUCAGCUAUGGUUUCGUCGAGAAAGGGUCGUCGGCGAUGAAUUUAGCCGAUGACACUAGAAGACGUCGUCGGCUAUUAUCUGGGACAAUAGCCGACGAAUAUCUUAAAUGUUUCGUCGACCAUAGUCUGAGACUUUAGCCGACGACGAUAUUAAAAAAUUAAAAAAAUAACUAUAGCUAACGAAAUAUAGUCUGUUUCGUCGGCUUUAGAAGUGUUUAGCCAACGAAACAUGCCAUAAUUCGUCGGCUAAACCUUAUAAAAAAAAUUAAAAAUACUAUAGCCGACAAAUAUCUUUGGCUAAAAUAUUUAAAUAUCGUCGGCUAAAGUUGCUGGUUUUUGAAAAAAAAAACUGCAUAAACUUUUGGCCACCUCCAAUCACCACCAAAAUUUGAUAGAAUCUUCCUCUCAACAUUUCGAACAACUUUCUACAAGGAGUCGAAGCCCAAUUCUAAGCCUAAACAGGUCAAUUAAAUCAAAAUAUAAAAAUCCUCAAUUUUAAACCCUAAAAACUUCAAAUCUUGGAUUCUCCUCAUACACAUCGAAUCGAGCUACCAAAUUCUAGGAGAAUGUAGUACUAAUCAGACUCAACUUAUCCAUAUAUAGAACUCACCAAAUGGUGACCUGAGGAAGGAGAAUUUCGAUCGACACCGAAUCCGAAUCGGCGGAGUUUUGGAGCUCGAUUUAUCCCUCACGGCAGCGCCACUCAAUGCACCACCUGUCCAGCAACGAAGAAGAGACAACGGAGAAGCUUUUGGGACAAGUGUGGCUGUCUCCGGUGGCUUGACGGCGGAGCUAGGCCGAGAAGAAAAUCCGGCAGGCGAAACAAUAACUUUUUCUGAUUUUCUGACUUCUUACCAUCCAACUCCGGUAAAACUCCUAUAUAAAGAACUUUACCCGACGAAAUUCUUUAUUUUCGUCGGCUAAACUCUUUUGAAAAUUUUGGUUGACAGCCAAAAUUUUUUUGACAAUAGCCGAUGAAAUCAUAUAUUUUCGUCGGUUCAAGUCCUUUGAAAAUUUUCACCCAAAUUUGGUUUGCCGCCAAAUUUUUUUUCGACUUUAGCCGACGCUAAAGUCCUUUGAAAAUUUUCCUCCAAAUUUGGUUUACCGCCAAAAAAAUUUUGACCUUAGCCGACGACUUUUUUAAUAUCUCGUCGGCUAAAGUCUAUAAAUUCACGAAAACGCUCAUGUCUCCCUCUAUAUUACGUAGUUUGGUCAAACCUUCCACAUGAAAAACUUUCACGUAGAUGAGACACAACCGCCUAUAUAAAAAUUUUGAGACAUUUACCUUCCGACGAUAGGGCUUCCCAUAGGGAAUAAUAACGGUAAAUAGGGUUGACCGCUACUAUCGGCACCGAGACGUUACCCGAUUUACGUGAUUUUUGAACCAUAGCCGUAUUUUUCCAUUCUGAACACAUCAUUUUUGAUAAUUUUGCUUCCUAUGUAGAGUUGGUUCACAAAGUUGUAUAACCUACUAAACAAGUUAUACAACAUUAGUAGACACGUUGUGAUUCCGAUGACUAAAAUUCACAAACCAAAAUUUUACCGUCAGAUAUGAUCAUUAUGACGAAAUAUGUCUAUGGUAAAAAAUUCAACUGGAUCCAACAAAGUUAAGGGCUCGAUCGAAACGGUCAACCCUAAUCCAUCGUCACUUAUCACACGAAAACGCUCAUAUCUCCCUCUAUAUUACGUAGUUUGGUCAAACCUUCAACAUGAAAAACUCUCAUGUAGAUGAGACGCAACUGCCCAUAUAAAAAUUUAGAGACAUUUACCAUCCGACGAUAGGGCUCCCCAUAAGGAAUAAUAACGGUAAAUAGGGUUGACCGCUACUAUCGGCACCUACACGUUACCCGGUUUACGUGAUUUUUGAACCAUAGCCGUAUUUCACCAUUCUGAACACAUCUUAUUUCACAAGAUUUUUGAUAAUUUUGCUUUCUAUGUAGAGUUGGUUCAUAAAGUUGUAUAACCUACUAAAUAAGUUAUACAACAUUAGUAGAUACGUUGUGAUUCCGAUAACUAAAAUUCACAAACCAAAAUUCCACCAUCAGAUAUGAUCAUUAUGACGAAAGAUGUCUAUAGUAAAAAAUUCAACUGAAUUCGACAACGUUAAGGGCUCAAUCGAAACGGUCAACUCUAAUCGAAAAUAAGAAAACUGCAUUUUGAAGCCCUCAACGGAGUCGGAUGGCCAAAAAGGCCCAUAUGUCAUUGCUGAGCUAUGAGUUUGACUCGUAUGGCCGUGACGCUUCUGGAAGGGUAUCACAAUAGUCAAUCGGACACUGAACGUCAAAUCUGCAGCAUACCGGGUUUCGACUGUUUUACAUCAGAGACGUUACCCGAUUUACUUGAUUUUUGAACCAUAGCUGUAUUUCACAAUUCUGAACACAUCUUAUUUCACGAGAUUUUUGUUAAUUUUGCUUCUAUGUAGAGUUGGUUUACAAAGUUGUGUAUUUGUUUAAAACCUACUAAGCAAGUUAUACAACAUUUUAUUGUUUUUCUUUUAGCCGAUAAAAUAAUAGUAUCAUCGGUUAAAGUUGUGAAUAGCCGAAGACUUUUUUUGAUAAUAGCCGGCGAGUAAAAACUUUGGCCGACGAAAAAAAAAUUUCUUUAGCAGACGACUUUUUUCGAUAAUAGCUGACGAGUAAAACUUUGGCCAACGAAAGAAAACUUUGACUGACGAAACAAAAAUUUCGUCGGUUAAAGUAUAGUAUAGCCGACGAAAUAUUUUUUUUCGUUGGCUACAGUUGACCAUAGCCGACGAAAAUUUAAAUUAGCCGACGAAGGAAAAUUUCGUCGGCUAACGUGGACUUUAGCCGACGAAAAAAUAAUUCGUCGGCCUGGUUUUUUUAUUUUCGUUGACUAAAGCCUUUCUUCUGGUAGUGCGUGAUUCUGGAUUUAAAUUUUUAUGGAUGAUCAAAGUUGCGUGCAACUAUAUAAGUUUUUAAAGUUUAAACAUGGAAAAAUAUUUAAAUUAUGUUUUUGUUAAAUUAUUUAAUUUAAUUUUUUUCACUCACUUUAACGUUUUAAAUUACUUUCCCCUGGGCCUUUCGGUUUCAAAUGCCCAGUUUGCAGGCUAAGUUUAUUUGAGGUCGAGCGUACAUGGAGUCGUGGCAUAGUCAGAGGUUGCUUCCGCUUAUUCUUUAUUCAUUAUUUUUCUUUCAUUAUUAUAUAUGCUCUGAUAAUCCAGUUAGUAACUAUUGAAUGUCUUUGUUGUUGGAAGUAAGAUUCUUUUAGAUUAGUAUUUGAUAUUUUGGGAGAUAUGAUGAACUUGGGGAACAUGAAGACUUCAGGAGUACAAGGUUGAAGUAUGAUUUUAGAAGUGUGUUUGUAGGUGUUUUUAGGAAUGGUUGUCCAUUUUCAAGGAAGGUUAUGCCGAAUUUCCGAUGACAUCUCUUUUGGAGGUGGUCCCCGCAGGGUUCAUUCCGGAUUUCAGUGAAAUCCGGGGUGGGUCCUGACAAAAAGAGUCCUAACUUCCUAUAGGAAAUACAUAUGAACAAACUGUAAACGGUUUUGGAAACUAGACUCGUGUAUCUUUCCAACCAUAAAUUAGAAAUAUUAUGGUUCGUUCGAAGCUAUUCACAAAGCUAUGUCGAAGUCAGGUGAUCAGAAAAGGCAAAUUUUCUGAUUUUGCUUUUGAUGCUUCAUUCUUUGUAGCGAUGACGUGGAUAGCGUCUAUUCUAUCAUGGCCUAAUGUAGGGAUUGAAUAUGACCAAUACCUUUAAGUAUUGAAAGGAUGUCAUUAUGCCAUUCAUUUGGCAUUGUGUGGGCGUAGAGCUACACUUAAUGAGAAUUAAUGAGAAGUCAAGUCCUUCAUCUUUCGUCCUUCGUAUCGUGUUAAGUACAUUGAUGUGUCUUAUUGUACUUAGUUAAGAAUUUCAUCUCUUAACACAUCUUUGUCAUCUUCCUUUAGACAAAAUAACAGAUCUCUCUUUACAAUAAAGACUUUGACUAAUCAUGGGAGCAUAUGCAUGUCUCACCUUUUAGAGCGCCUAAGCCGAUUGUUGGAAAUCAUCAUGACCCAACAAACACUUUGUUAUUAGCCCUCAAGAUACUUACUAAAGCCUUUCUGGCCGGUAGUGUAUGUAAUACUCAACAAUUGGUUAUGAUCUUCAUAAUCAUUUUUAUCAUAGCAAGCUCGGUAUUAAAAGGGACUUCAUAUACCGAAAGUGAUUCUAAAUAUAUAAAUAUAUAUACACACACACAUACAGAGAGGAUGUAGAGCGGACGUCCGCACUCGGCUUAAAGUGCGGACGUCUGUCCACCCCAGAAGACUCCAGCAGCGUUCCCGACCACUUCCCCUCCCCGGCGAGUCCGUUUUUUUUCAGUUUCCGGCGAGAUCGACUUUGUUUGAAGUUUUGGGUGAUCUCGCCGGAAAACUGGAAAAUAAUGGACUCGCUGGGGAGGGAAAGUGGUCGGGGACGCUGCUGGAGUCUUCUGGGGUGGAGGUGCGCUGUCGCCGACGCCGGAUGGUGGAGAACGGACGGACGUCCGCACUUUAAGCCGAGUGCGAACAGUCCGCUUCACAUCCGGCCUCGUAUAUAUAUAUAUAUAUAUAUAUAUGUAUAUAUAUAUAUGUAUAUAUAUAUAUUGACCCUUAGUGUUACAUCGACGAGAAUAACGUUCUACCCAUUCAUUGAUAAAAAAAAGCUAUUAAUUUAUAGACAUUACAUAGAUCUCCCGAAAGAUUUAGAAGUUCUAUCAACUGUAAUUUAUUCUAAUAAGAAAACGAUUAGGUCAAGACACAUAACAGAAGGACAAAAAAUGCCUAUUUAUAGGCAUUACAUUCAUUGAUAAAAAGACCUUUUGUAUUUUUUAGAGACAUUACAUAAAGUCUCUUGAAGGAUUUAGAAGUUUUAUCAACUGUAAUCUACUCUAAGGGCAUCUCCAACAAUGGUUGCUAUACCCAUACCCAUACUCAAAACCCAUAAAAACCCAUCUCCAACAAUCAAAACCCAUACCUAAUUAUGGGUUCCUACCAACCUCCCGACCCAAAAUGGGUCGACUGUGAAAGAGGAAACCCAUUUGCAACUUGCGUGGGACCCAGACGGCAGCAGCUGCACAUGAAGAGUUGGCAGAUGCAGGAGCAAUGCGCGUCUCGUCUCGCCUGUGAAAAACGCGCGCAAGCCGACAAAAAAAACGGGCCGAAGUUGACGACGCGCGACGCCCGCUUUGAAGGGGAGCUGGACUAGUGCGGGUCAUCCCAUGUGAGCUCAGCUGUGUCCUCCAACGGUCAAAAAAUGUAUGGCCCAGAUUUGAUUCCAUUCAAAAUGCGCGGUCUAGAUAAAUUCAAUUGGAAAAAGAAAAAAUGAGGCCGAAAAUCUUGUUUUCAAAUGAAAAAAAAAACUUGAAAAAUAAGAAAAAAAUUUAUGGGUUUUGACAUAAAAUGAUUAAAAUGAUUAUAGAAAUGAUUAAAAUUUGGGUAUGAGUAUGGGUUUUGAUAUAAUGGUUGGAGAUGGAAUAUGGGUUUGAAUAGUAAUGGGUUUGGGUGACUCAAAAUAUAGGUAUGGGUAUGGGUAUAGAAAUGAUUGUUGGAGAUGCCCUAAUAAGGAAACGAUUAGGUCAAGACACAUAACAGAAGGCAAGAAAGUAAUUUCUUUAAACACUCCCCUUUAUGUCGCGUGCCUAAUACGUCAUGAUGCUUAUGGUGUUGCCUCGGUAAAAACUUUGCCAGUAAAACAAAAAACUCAUGGGUAAAACAAAAGACUUGGACAAAGGGAGAAAGAGCACUACAAUUGAAGUUAACAUGUGAUGUAGACUCCCACUCCCCUGAUCUCGGAGUUCAGAUAAACGGCACAAGCUAGUGCUCUUCACAUACUUCAAAAGUAGACUUGGGCAACGAUUUAGUCAUUAAAUCCAGCCACAUUAUCCUUAGAUAAGACCUUCUAUACUUAGCAUUAUUUUGAUCUUUAAGGAGAAGGUUGUCUAACAACUCGAUACAUAAGUUCGCGUAGAAAAUCAGAUUCACGCAUGGCACAACCUUCGUGUACUUAAACAAACAUAACUUCUUCGAUACAAUAGGUAUAGACAAACCGUAAAAAGUUAUGAAAAUUAAACACCUGUAGCUUUCCAACCAUACAUAGCCCAUAACCUAGUUCAUCAUGAGCUAAUCACAAAGCUCAGUCAAAGUUGACUGUUUUGUAAAAGCAUAUUCUCGGACAGAUCCGUUCUACUUUACGAAAAUAGCCAUAACUCACUCAAUAUGAUAGGUGUGAUCAAAUGGUUGGUGUCCCUGGAAAGUAGACACAUAGACCUUUCCAAUGAUACCAAUUUUACCAUUUUCCAACGAGUGAGCUAUCAUGUAGGACCCGUGGAAGUUGACCUACGAACUGGGCAUAUUAUGAUUUCGUCUUUGAUGUGUCUUUCUAUAAGGAUAGAAUAAGCCUACACCUUUCAUACCAUUGCAUGGGCGCAUCUAGCUAUUACCUUGAUACUCUCACACUCAUCUAAGAGGGAGCAAAGCUACUCAACCGUUGGGAAGAGAGUUGAAAGACUAUAAAGGAGAACUUGGCCUUACAAGUUUAUAGUGAAUGAGAUGUCGAGUCGAGCAUACUGUGACAAGUACACGAAUGUGCUACCGUACUUAGAUGGAGAGUUUCUCCCAAGACUUCUUCAUCAUAUGAACGAAACGGGUCUUCUCAAGACUUCGAUCGAUCAAGGGAUACAGAUAGCCAUAACGGUGCUCACUUUCCAUGUCAUCGUUGACAAUCCACCAUUACCUACUCCGCUCUGUUGCUCUGUCAGACCGUCACCCAUCCUCCGCCUUCGUAGCCACACCAGCCUACGCUACCAUGACCAAGCCAGGCGUCACCACCACCACAAUUUUCCCAUCUCGAAUCUAGAUCUCUAGUCCCAAAUCAGGUCAAAACACAACAACAUAUCGACAACGACAUCACGACAGCCAGCCGUGCCCACUGGCUCACCCCUAGCCCAUUGUGUACAUGCUCUUAUGAUUUAUUCACGGGGUUGAUUCAAAUUUUAUAAUUUUAAUUAUUUUUUGCAGAUUCGUUGAUAAUUAAGAUUUAACAAUAUUUUAGCUACCUUCAAGUAAAAUAUAGCUAUAGUAAGCUAACCAACGUGCAAUAAUUUCACAAUCUGGUAUUCUGGUUUCACUCGCCCGCCAUUUGGUUUCGUUGUCUUUGUUGUGUCCCGAGCUUUCCAUUUGGAUCAGCUGGGAGGAGAUGUUCCGAGAGCUUUCAUGUUUUAGUUUUUUGUCGGUCUCGACAUUAGUAAUUUUUGUUUUUUUUUUUGAGGUACUUCUUUGUCAUACUCCCUUUCCUUAAUUUGUAGUCUUUUGGUUUCGGUAAGAUAUCCUGUUUCCCAAUCCUGGUAGGUUUGGUAGUUCGAAGUUUCGAACUCCCUAUAAAUAGAUAACACCACAGUUAUGUUCCUUCCACUUUUCUUAAAGCUUGUCGGCCAAAAAAAAACACGCCAAAAUGUCCGACGACGCCAUCGCGAUAAUCUCCAGUACGGAUGAGACGGUUAUCAACGGUACAUAUAUCAAGGUGAAGCAAGCAAGUGUACCCUAUCGAAAUAAAGGCGGAGUUGGCGAUGAUUUCAUUCUCGUCUAUAUUGGGUUGUACAGAGGAAUCGGCGCUCUGCAUAGCCCUGUCCCUGACUGCCCAUAUAUUCUCGACUCAGAAACCCUUGUAGCAACUAAAGCUUAUUGGGUCAAUCUCCCACGGAUCAAGAAGGUUCUCUACUGCAGCAGGUUUGCAAUAUCACUUAAGAACUAUCUUUCAUCCAUGGAUGUCACCCAAAGAGAACAAGAUGCUACAAUUCAUAAGUUAUUCGAGGUUCUUGACGUGGUUGUCAACACGGAUCUGCCGAUUACUGUCAAGAUAUUGGACCUGACUCUUGGUGUUACUCCGGAAAUGGCAACCAGAUUUGUUCCUGCGACAAGGGAGUCGAUUGAAGGCUUGGAAAGAGUGAGGCUUGUUGGAUUCGGAGAAACUUGUGCCGUUUGUUUGGAGUGCUAUGAUGAUGAUGAACCUCUGGUUACUAGGUUGCCCUGCUCACACUAUUUUCAUGGGGAUUGUAUUCUCCUCUGGCUGCACAUCCAUCAUACCUGCCCUAUGUGCCGAUUCGCAAUGCCAACACAACCCUGAAUGCUAAGAGGUGCUACUGCAUGUCCUCUUAAUUUAUUUUCUGCCAUUCAGUUUCUGCCGAAACAAGUGUAGCUUGUUGUAUCCAGUAUUAUCAAAGGGGUGUCUCCCCUUUUUUUAUCUUUAUUUUCUGAAACUCUGGUACUGCCUGAAAUAGUGCAGCUUGUGUAUUUGUUUCAAAGAAUCAUGGGACAUGAACUACCCCCCCCCCCCUCUCCUAUAUUCUAAUGUUCUAAUGAUUUCUUUUAUUCUCUUUUCCCAGGACAUGAACAUGCAAAAGCUUCCAAAAGAUAUGAGAAGGUACCAUGGCUGACAUCUUGGUUAUUGAACCUGAUACCUUGACCUAUGUUCUUAUGCUUACUGAACCUUCUUCCAUGCAGGCUAAUAAAUUGAAUAUGAUACAGCUUUUGCUGAAGAGGAGAAAAAAUAGGCUAAGGCGUUGAAGGUUGCUUGCAAUUUCAAUGAUGGCGCUUCCAAACUGAAAGAGUACAAACAGGCUGAAAAGCUGUGUACCAAGGUAAGCAAUCGUUACUUGAGAAUCCUCUCUAGGUCCCUUCUGUUCGUUGGUUUUUUUAUUUACGUAUGCCUUUGACAAGGUUUUGGAGCUUGAGGGUAGGAACGUGAAGGCUAUGUACAGAGGGUCGGGCAUAUAUCCAGUUGGCAGAUCUGGAUUUGGCUGAGCUUGACAUCAAGAAAACCCUUGAAAUAGACCCUAACAACAGUUACACACUCGUUAGCGACGACGGUGCUUCUACAUAAAUUAAUUACACACUACCAGGACAAGCAAUUUAGCCGACGAAAAAGUUUCGUCGUCCUGUUAACCUAAUUAGUCGGCAAUGACUUUAGUCGACGAAACUAUAAGACGUCGUCAGCUUUAGUCCCAAAAUUUAGCCGACGAAAAAGAGAUCGUCGGCUUUUUUCCCAGAAUUUAGCCGAGAAUAUCUUAAAUGUUUCGUCGACCAUAGUCUGAGACUUUAGCCGACGAAACGUUUAAUAUAUUCGUCGGCUAUAGUAUGUAAUAAAAAAAUAAAAAAAUAACUAAAGCCGACGAAAUAUAAUUUGUUUCGUCGGCUUUAGAAGGGUUUAGCCAACGAAACGUUCCAUAAUUCGUCGGCUAAACCUUAUUAAAAGAAAUUAAAAAUACUAUAGCCGACGAAUUAUGGCGUAUUUCAUCGGCUAUAAGUCUAUUCCAGUAAAAAAAAUAGAAAAUUUCAUAUAAGUCCUCUUCUCAACAUUUUCUUUCAUGCAAGUCUACCUUAAUAUUUUUACCCAUACAAGUCCACUUUCAAACCUAAAUCUGUCUUUUUGCUUUUAUGAUGUACCUAAAAUACCCUCUUGUCUUUCACCCUCCCUUUCCAAAUCAGUUUCUCUCUAUUUAAAAAAAAAAAAAUCUCUCUCCAAACCAGAUCUGAUUCAUCAUCGUCCUAUAGUACCUCUCGAUGACAACACCUUAACGAAGCCGCCCCUCGCCGAUUCAACGUCGUCGGAGCUCUGUCGCAUCUCUCCCGUCGACUCUCUCACUCGAGACUCACGCGCGUUUUCUGAGGAGAUUUCAGAGGAGUUGGACCGCGGCGACGCCUCGACUCUGAUCCGGCAAUCAUAGCUCAGCGAGCCGAUGCCUCAACUCCGAUCCGGCGAUCAUAGCUCAGCGAGCCGACGCCUUGACUCCAGAAACCCCGCCGACACCUCGACUCCGGUGCAAGGCGACGGACGGUGCUCUCGAUUAUUGGUGCCGAGAAUCUAGUUUUUUCUGAUCUCAAAGGAGCUCGUGCUUCGGAUUCGUCUAGUUUCUCUUAGAUUUCCUCUCUCUGUUUCUUUCAUAACCAUCUCAAUUCCUCAUUGGAGAUUUACGUUUUCCGAUCUGCUCUCGAUGACCACAGCGAAGCCAACCACUACGUUCUCCGGAAGUCGCAGGAAGUCACCGGAGACUCUUGCCGGAGGUCGACGAAGACGUUGCUAGAGAGGAGGUCGUUGGAGGCGAGAGUAGGUUUCGAUGGAGGUGAGAGUAGUUUUUGCUAUGGUUGGUAGUAGGUUUCGAGGGAGGGUGAGAGUAGGUUUUGGCGGAGGUGAGAGUAGUUUUUGUUUGUGUUUGGUAGUACGUUUGGGUGGAGGUGAGAGUAGCUAGGUAUCGGCGGAGGUCAGAGUAGUUGUUACUGUGUUUGGUAGUAGGUUUUGGUGGAGGUGAGAGUAUGUAGGUUUUGGUGCUUGGUAGAAGGUUUUUUUUUUUUGAUACCGUGCUUGUUAAUAGUUUUAGCUCUGUUUUGUAGUAGGUUUUGUUAUGUUCAGCAAUAGCUUUUAUUCUGUUCAGUAGUAGCUUUUGUUUACUGGCUGUAGUAGCUGGGUAAUAGUUUUUGUUAUUGGUAAUAACUUUUAUAGUUAGGGGUAGUAGCUUUUGUUGCCGAUGAUAAUAUCUUUUAUUACUGGUGGUAAUAGCUUUAAUAGUUGGGGGUAAUAGCUUUUGUUGUUGGCGGUAGUAGUUUUUGUAGAUGGUGGUAGUAGUUUUUGUAGAUGGUGGCAGUAGCUUUUGUGGCCGGUGGUAGUAUUUUUUGUGUUCGUCGAAAACCUCAUAGUAGUAGCUUUUGUAGACGAUGAUAGUAGCUUUUGUGGCUGGUGGUAGUAGUUUUUAUGUUCAUUGGAAACCUCACAGUAGUAGUUUUCGUAAGCGGUGGUAGCAGCUUUUGUAGCUGGUGAUAGUAGCUUUUGUGGCUGGUGGUAGUAGUUUUUGUGUUCGUCGAAAACCUCACAGUAGUAGCUUUUGUAGGCGGUGGUAGUAGCUUUUGUGUUCAUCGGAAACCUCACAGUAGUAGCUUUUGUAGGCGGUGAUAGUAGCUUUUGUAGCUAGUGGUAGUAGCUUUUAUAGCUGGUAGUAGUAAUUUUUGUCAUCGUCGGAGGUCGGUCGGAAAUCUCGCCAGAGGUCGGCCGGAAACCUCGCCGGAGGUCCGCCUGAAACCUUGCUGGAGGUCCGCUGGAAAUCUCACCGGAGGUCCGCCGGAGACUAUUCCGAAAUGAGAGUGAUUGUUGACUUUUUAUACUAGUGGCAUUCUUGUAAAUAUAAAGGAGAAAAUCUAAUUUUUUUUGUUGGAUGGCAGUCUGUAAUUAUGUUGAACUUCAAUACUUAAUACAAAACCUUAUUUAGACUUGGGUGGACUUAUGUGGGUAAAAAUGUUGUGGUGGAUCUAUGUGGGAAAAAAUGUCUCAAAGUGGACUUAUAUGUAAUUGGCCCUAAAAAAAAACCCGAAAUUCCUAAAUUACCAUUUCAUGCAAGCUGCAAAAUACACCAAAACAAUUUCAUAUAACCAACAACAAGAUUCAUCAACUACACAAAAUCUAGAUCGUCUAAAUUAAUAUCCGCUUCCGGGGGUUGCUGCGGAGGUUGCGGCGGCUGGGAUAGCGGUAUAGCCGUAGGCAUGGGCGGAGCCGGAAGUCUGAAGCUGAGCAGCUGUAAACUCUUGCAUGUACUGGAACAUCUGAUGUUGCUGAGCCUGCUGGAUGGCAUAUAUCUCGGCAGUAUAGGCUGCAUGCGCGGCAUCAUAGGCAACCUGAGCAGCUUGCUGUUCCCGUAGUCUCUGAACUUCCGACUCUAGCUGAGUCGUCCUGGUGGUCGUGGUCCUGCUGCUGGUCGAGGCUGCAUUUUAUUGAAAUCCUGGAGUGGUCUUCAGGACCCCCUCGCCCUUCUUUCCUAGACCCCGGCAGUAGAAGUUGUUUGCUUGCGGUGGGAAGGCUGUGCCCAUGAUCCUCGCCCCAACCGUCGGAUCCGAAGUGUCGAUCCGGGACAUGGCUUCGGACAUCUUUUCCUCCUGCGUGUCCGGCCAUGUCUCCCUCACUAUAGCACUUACCACCUCAUCACUAGCCUCCCUCACCUUCGCCUAAUUGGAUAGGAAAAAAAUUAUUAAUUAACAUUUUGACAUAUAUAUAAAUAAAUUAAAAAUUUAAAAACGUAAGAUGACUUACAAUAUCCUCCUGGGCGUCAGGAUAUGUCUUCUCGUACGUAUAGAAGUACCAGUUGACUUCUGGAUGUUCUCUGGCCGCCUCGUCCAUGAAGACAGCGAAUGGUCUAGAACCGGCAUGAUGGUUCCUUGUGUUGAGUUGCCGGUUCUGAGCGUUCGCCCAGGAAAUGGCCUUCAAAGAAAAAAAAACUAUUAGUAAAUUAUUUUAAAACACACGUACUUAAUGACAAAUUAACUAAUUAAUUUUUUAAAUACCUGUUUACGAGGGUUGUUGAAUUCUGAUGUCAGAAGCUAACGCCACUCGUACUCCCUGUACUGGAACUCAGCAGGGGUACCAGAACAUGCAUUUCCCUGCGUAGUCUAGUGGGUCCGCAACUCGUUCUUCCACUCCUUGUAUCUACAGAUACAACAAAAAUAUUAUAAAUAUUAUUAAUAUCACAUACAAGUUUGUUUUUUCAUUAACUUCCCAACGUACAUUCCCCCAUGCACAACGUCCGCCCAACUGUUCUUCAGGUGCUCGGGAACCUCAAACCACACAUGCAUUUAACCGUUUAUUAGUUUAGUUUUUCGAGAAAUAAACAAUGUAAUACAUAAUAUUAUUGAGGCAUUUUGUAAACUCACCGACAUCGCGUUGUGGACCAUGUCCUUAACCUCCUGCGAGACCUCGCCCCAGUCUGACCACAACAUAGGGACUCUAUCCCUAAUGAGCGCUCCCACGCGGCCGGAGUACGUCCUCGACUUCCCGCCCGAUACUAUGUCGCCAUCCCCGUUAGUAACGAUGACGAUCCUCCCUGAGGUACUGACGGUCUUCUCAAGAGUCUUCCCUGUGACGAGGCCUCUCUUCUUCUUUGUCGGCUUCGCUCCGACGGUGCAUAUCACAUGAUAAACCAAAUUGAUUAUUAAAAUCGGAGACCAUUUAUUAUUAAUUAUAAGAAAACAAAUCAUUCAUCUUACAUAUCACAUGAGGGUGAUGCGGCGGACGUGACGGAUUCCGUCUCUGUCGCCGAUGAUGAUACCCUCGCGGAAAUAAGAGGCGUAUCAAAAGGCACGAACCGGUACGCCGCUGAUGGAGCCACUGGCGGGGGCAAUGGAUAAAUCGGCGUCCCUGAGCCAUCGACUGCAGGUAAGGCCAGUAUCAUCAGCAGAAGGAACAGAUGAGGCGGCGGCAUCUGUACCCCAGAUGACCCACUAUCCGAAGAAGCAGGACCCGGAGUGGGCGCCCGGUAUAUCUCAGGCAUACGGGGUGCAGACACCUCCGUCUGGGUCUGAGGCCACAACUGCUUCGAGGAAUGAGGGACGUCCCGCUGCCUCGAUGAAGGGGGCACCUCCGGCUGCCUCUGAGCCGUUUCUAGAAGGGUCGCACGUCUGGCUGUCAUGGGGCCCCGAAACAAUGUUUGAGGGUUGCUAGAGGUUCCCUUAGACGAUUCGGACCUUUGACCCUUCGAACCCUUAACAACGUUUAAGGGUUGCUAGAGGUUCCCUUCGUCGAUCUAAAAUUACCGCUCAUCCUGUUUAAAAUAUUAAUUUGAAUCAAGGCUGAGGCAUGGGCGGAUACACUCAUUCAAUGUUGCUCGUUAAUUCAAGGCUGAGGCAACAUUGAAAAAGUAAAAAUUCAAUCUUAUCCUUCUCAAAUCUAAGGCUCUAGAUUAUUUUGUCUUUAUUCUAUAAAAAAUAUUGUUGAAACCAUUUUUUUUUCAUUAUGUUCAUGCUUAAAUUUAAACACUUAAUAUAAUGUGAAAUAUAUAUAUUUUUGAAAUUAGACUUGUUCAAAAAUAUGAAUUCAAUUAAAUAUAUAUAUAUUCAAUAGGAUUUGAUAUAGGUUUUUCUAUUUUGUAUUUUGUAUCUUAUGUUUAAAAAUUCGAUGAAGAAUAUAUAUAUUAAUAUAUAAGUAAAAUAAUAAUAAUUAUGAAUUAAAAGGUUUAAAAUUGAACUUUGAUUCUGCAAAAUGUAAGGUAGAGUUGAACACUAAAACACAAAAGCACCCCCAAAUAUGAAGUGAGCCCACGAUGAAUGCAAUACCUAGUCAUGGAAUAUAACAAAUGCACAGUGCAAGCUUCAAGUUCAUUAUCAACAAAGCAUUUGUACCCGAAAAUGGGGAUAAUUAAUCUCCAAAACAUAAAUUAGGGAAAAAUGUAACGUCUUUAGCCAUCAAAAUUGGACCGAAGAUUACAGAUUUGAUUAGGUUACCCAUAUGAAUUCAUGAUCAUAACAGUAAAAUGGGAGAUUGGACAGUAACAAAAAACAAUGGUGAAAAUCAAUUCGAAAUCAAAAGUAAAAAAGAAGAAAAACGCUAACCUUGGAGAAGAAGAGGAGCUGGAGAAUUUGGGAGAGGAGAGGAGACCGGGAGAGGAGAGGGAGCGGGAGCGGGAGACCGGAGGAGGAGAGGGAGAGGGAGGAGGUGGACUGAUAUGGAGGAGGUGGACCGGUAUGCAGGAGGCAGAGGAGGCGAACCCGGGAGACCGGGAGAGGGAGAGGGCGACCUGGAGACCGGGAGAGGGAGAGGAGGCGGAGGAGGCAGACCGGGAGACCGGGAGAGGGAGAGGGCGACUGGGAGACCAGGAGAGGGAGGCGGAGGAGGCGGAGGAGGCUAGGGUUUUUGAAACGUGCUGUGGAGGCUGUCGAGCGCUGUGUCUUCGUCUGUAUACCGUAUAACUUUAGCCAACUAAAUUUUUACUUCGUCGGCUAAACCUUUAAAUUUGUCGGCUAAAAUUUAAAAUGCGUCGGCUAAUCUUUGAAAUUCGUCGGCUAAACUUUGAAAUUCGUCGGCUGACCUUUGAAAUUCGUCGGCUAAAGUACUUUUAUACAUUCGGCACAUUGUGAUUGUGAUGAUCAAACUUGAGAAACGAAAAUCCGACCGUCAGAUCUGACCAUCAUGAUAAAAUACAUGUAUAGGAAAAAAUUCAACUUGAUCCGACAAGGUUAAGGGCUCGAUCCGGACGGUCAAUCCCAUAAGUCAAACUCCUAAACGCACGAAAAAGGUCAUUGGACCGUCUAAAUUACGUAUUUUGGCCGGACCUUCAACUGAAAAUAGUUUCAAACCGAUGAGACCCAACAAGUAAUAUAAAAAUUUUACUGAAAAUAACCACCGAAGAUAGGGCUACCCAUAGGGAUAAAAAAUGGAAAAUUGCAUUGACUGCAACUAUUGGUACCGAGACUUUACCGGAAUACCAUGAUUUUUCAACCGCAGACGUAUUUCACCAUUAUGGUCAUAUCUUAUUUCACGACUUUUUUGCAUUUGAAGGUUCUACGUAUAGUUUGUUUUUGAAAAGGAACAUUACUUAUACACUUGGUAAACAAGUUAUACAACAUUAGUAGGCAUGUUGUGAUUGUAAUGAUCAAACUUGAGAAACAAAAAUCCCACCGUCAGAUCUGACCAUCAUGAUAAAAUACAUGUAUGGGAAAAAAUUCAUCUCGAUCCGACAAGGUUAAAGGCUCGAUCCGGACGGUCAAUUCCGUAAGUCAAACCCCUAAACGCAGGGAAAAGGUCAUUGGACCGUCUAAAUUACGUAUUUUUCCCGGACAUUCAACUGAAAAUAGUUUCAAAUCGAUGACACGCAACAAGUCGUAUAUUAGGGUAUUCGUCGGCUAAGGUUUAGGGUUUAGGGUUUAGCCGACGAAAUAUUAGGGUAUUCGUCGGCUAACCGCAUCUUAACUGACGAAUUAUGACUUAUUUCGUCGGCUAAGAUGAUUUAAGCCGACGAAUUAUGGUAUAUUUCGUCGGCUAAAGUAUAAAAAAUAAAUUAAAAAAACAGAAGGUUUAAACCAUACUAACUUCCUGUUCAUAUAUCACCAAAAUUCAUAUAAAAUAACAUAAAUAUGAAUUUAACAUAUGUAAACUAUAAAGGUUAUACAUUCUUUUUUAUUACAAAUUAAUGUAAUCGGAAUCAAAACUAAGACGCGUAAUCGGAAUCAUCCGAUGAGUCUUCUGUGGUGUCAGAAUUAAUUUCUGGUAAUCUAUGUCUUUCCUCAUCGCCAGAGUCUUCGUCUGUUUCUUGAUUUGGAUCAAUAUCAAUAAGCCUUGGCUCUUCAUCACGAAUUCGCACCGAACGACCCGUUUUAAAAUUACUAAGGCGAACGGUAGAGGAGUUAGGAAUACCUAUUGCGCUGGGCUCUUGAUACGCAACAUCUUCCUCGUCUUCGGACUCUCCAAGUAUAGCCGCCCGGUAAAUGUUUCGAGAGUGCACAAGGUUGACUACUUUCCACGCGUUACCCUUAGCAAGAUCAUCAAGAUAAAACACUUGUAUUACCGAUGUGGCAAGAACGAACGGGUCAUCUUCGUAAGAACUUGUAGCAGUGUUCACCGAUAAUAUUCCGUACUGAUCGGUCUUCAAUGCGUGCCUAAGGACCGUCUUUCGUCUUCCCCUCCAAGUUCAGCACUGUGCCCACCACAUUGUCGCAAACAUUCUUUUUUAUGUGCAUCACAUCUAAGUAGUGCCUGAUCAACAACUUACUUCAGUAUGGGAGUUCCCAGAAUAUGCUCUUAUGUGUCCAGAAUUUGUACCUGUCUGGUCUUUCAGGUAUUGCCGCCACAAUAUUGGGAUGAUUGCGGAGCUGCCCAAAAUCGUACUCAUUAAUCACUGCUAAAAUUUCUUCCCCCGUCCAUCUUCUAGGAGGCACACCGUUUUCUACGGUCCCAUCAAAUGCCUGUGCAUCAAACCGUCAUUCGUGAUCAUAUGGAAGAAGAGUACAGUGACUCAAUUUGCAUAUCUUGUUGCAAUGACUGCUGCUCCCCUCAUCGCUAAGGCACUCUAGACAAGCUUUGUAUCCCUUAACAACGUUGCCCGACAACAUCCCACGGGCAGGAAAAUCACUGAUGGUACCAACAAAUAUGACAUGCAUCUGGAACAUCUCGUGCAUGUACUUGUCAUAAGUGGGAUGACCAACAUCCCACAAAAACUUAAGCUCUUCAAUCAAAAGUCUCAAAUACACAUCGAGACACUUCCCUGGAUAACCGGGCCCCGGAAUCAACAAACUCAACAUAUUGUAUUCCUUCUUCAUGCACAUCCAUGGAGGAAGGUUGUACGGUACCAAAAUCACCGGUCAUACACUGUAUUGAAGACUCAUGUUGCCAAAAGGGUUGAACCCGUCGGAUGAGAGCCCGAGCCUCACAUUUCGGACCUCUGACGCAAAAUGAGGAAACUCCAUGUCUAUAUGCUUCCAAGCCUCCCCGUCAGCAGGGUGUAUAAGGGUAUCUUCGUCAUGCAAUUCCCUAUCAGCGUACCAUCUCAUAGCUUCGGCCGUGUGUGAAGACAUGUACAACCGCUCCAGCCUAUCACUAAACGGGAAAUACCGAAGUACCUUAACAGGUUUCCUAUUGCCUGCAGGAGUCAGCUUAUACCUGUCAGUGUGACAUACCGGACAUGCGUCAAGGCCACCAAGGUCAUUCCCUUCUGGAUCUUUACCCCAGAAAAGAACGCAGUCAUAUCUGCAUGCAUGGAUCUUGAUGUAGGAAAGCCCAAGAUCUUUCAGGAUACAUCGGACCUUAUAAUGAGUGGUAGGAAAACGAUGACCGUGGGGCAGCAUUGAAGCAGUGUACUGUAGAUAAUCAUCAACAGCCUUCACGGUCGAUUUUGUCUCAACUUUAAUCUUCAUUACGUCCAUCACACUUUCAAGAACGGUCUUCUGACAACCGGGGUACACAGGGGUCUGUUGGAAAGCAAGCAGUUUGUUGUACUUGUCAAUACCAGCAGUGUUGACAGCUUUAGGGAAGGGCUGCACCGACUUAGGCAUAUACUGUCCUUAAGCGCAUACACUGCUCUCAUAAGGAAACAUAUCGUUGAUGAAGACCAUUGUUGGAUCGUUGGAUGUACUGCCCGUCUCAGAAAAUUGGCCAUAAUCAUGCGGACCCCCUGAUGAUGUUUCACCGUGAUAUAACCAACAUGUGUACUUCUCUCAAAACCCGUUACUCUUCAGGUGCUGCCAGACUUUGUCAAUCACAAAUCGAUGUUCACUGCGACACUGACAUUUCGUGCACGGGCAAUAGAAAAUUGUAUUCCCGUUAGCAUUAGCCAGCGCAUAUAUAUUCCAGAAAAUUCAUAACUCUUUUACCAUAUCUUUUGUCCCAUUUUGGAGCGAAAUCCAACUCUUAUCCAUAUCCUGAAAAUAUAACAAAAUAUAUAUGUAUAACUCUAGCUAAUUAUUAAUUAAAUUCUAUAUAUAAAAUCUAAAUUCAUUUAGUAUUCUACGUACUACAACUAAUUAAUAACAAAUUAAUUAACACAUAUAUAUACUUAAUAAUUACAUAACAAUAUUAUAUAUCAACAUCAUCACAAAAUCAUCAUCAACUCAUAUCAUCAACAACUUUAUACCAUCAACACAAUAUUAUAAAUUAAUUAACAUAUAUAUAUAUAUAUAUAUCUACUACUUAUUAACAACAACUUCAUAUAUAUUAUCAAAUCGAUCAACACACAUAUAUAUACAUCCAACGUACUCAAAAUCGAUCAACUCAAAUAAAACUCAAAAUCGAUCAACUCAAAUAAAACUCAAAAUCAACAUAUAUACACAUAUACGUACCUAUAUAUAGCUCCACAAACUAAUUAUGGACAGAUUUCGACAACACCCAAACUUUUUCUCCCGUUUUUUCUUCUCCCGUUUUUUUUUUCUCAAAUAUAAGGCACUUUAGCCGACGACAUUUUAAUUUCGUCGGCUAAACUUUUAUAUUUUCGUCAGCUAAAGUUUACAAACUAUAGCCGACGAAAAAAAUUCUUUAGCCGACGAAAUUAAAUUUUCAUUGGCUAAAGUUGACCAUAGCCGACAAAAAUUUAAAUUAGCCGACGAAGGAAAAUUUCGUCGGCUAACAUGGGCUUUAGCCGACGAAAAAAUAAUUCAUCGGCCUGGUUUUUUUAUUUUCGUCAGCUAAAGCCUUUCUUCUGGUAGUGACACUAGAAGUCCAGAAGUACAAAUUACAUGGAUUCGGCCCGACUAAGCCACCUUAAUUCAUAGUUACUAACUACUGAUUUUCUAGUACCAAUUUCAAGUUCAAAUUACAUUUAGAUUCAUCCAUGAUUUACUAUCCCAAAAAAAAAAUAUCCAUGAUUUUUAAACACCGCAACGCCGGAAUCAACCUUGAAAUAGAAAUCAUGUGUAUUAGUUUUCUCCAUUAUCUUAGUGGCUAAAAACUGGUGAUAGAAGUAUGAGUUAGCUUGGUUUAAAUAAAAAUGAGCUCCAGAAGCAUAUAUAGCGGUGUUCUCAUACAAAAAAAGUAACAAAAGUCACAGAAAAAAUAUUCCCAUCCUGCAUACAAAAGUAUGCCCUUUUUUUUUUUUGAUGGAAUUUCAAAAUUAACGUAAAGAAACAAAGCAAAAAACGUGACGAUAUUAAUUAAUAUCAUCAGCAUGGAAAAAAAUUUCUGCAGCACCCACCCAGUCCAGUAUUCGUAUUUGAACUGCAAUUUAAAAAUGUUACUCUCUUUUUUCCUAAGAAGACAUGAAUUGAGUAAAAAUGUUACUCCCCUGCAUGCAUGCAUGAUUUGUAAGUCUUGGUACAAAAGACAAAUAGAUAUGCAUUUUAGGUUAUGUUCAUGUAUCAUACGCUCUCUCCCUCGCUUAAUUCUAGAAGAUCGAGAGCAUACAUAUGUAUAUUGAAAUGAUGCAUGAUUGCCCCAAUUUGCGCCGAAACCGUAGCUGCUUAACUUGUCCAAUAUUUAUCCUGGGGGCCUCGAUCUGGUGUUGCAUUUGAAGUUUUGACUCAUUCCAAGACCAUACCCUAGACUUUUCUUCUACAUCCAAGACUACUGCAAUUUAGUGCUGGGUCCUGACUCCUCACAUAUAGUGCAUCAUUCAAGCUUUUCAUGAUUACCAUGGAUCUAUAAUAUAGUGGUGGCAAACCCGAAUGAAGUGCUGGAAGAGUCCACUAUAUAUUGUGUAAAACCAGAUAAUGUAGUUGUAGUGAUUAUCAAGUGCAGCCUUUUACUAGUAAAAGAAAACUGGUGUCCCUUAAGUGCUAGACUCUGACUGACCCAUGAACUACAACAAGCAACAAGUGGAUUAAUCCAUCUACCCAUUUUCGUGCAAGAAAACUUGCGCUGUAAUUUCUGGGACAAAUGACUUUGACAAAUGACUUCAUUAAUUUAUUUGUGGAAGUCAUUUGUCCAAGAAAAUUAAUGACUUUGUUAGAACAUCUCCAACAAUUUUUUUAAAAUUUCUUCAAAAUGGGGAAGCAAAAGUCAAAAUCUCCAAAGAAAAAUUUACUCUAAACUUCAACUACUUUCCUAUUUUAGAGAUUUUGGCAUUUAUUACUACAAUUAAAUAUUUUACAUCAUUUUUAAUUAUAACAAAAAGAAAUAUUCUAUAUCUUAUUAUAACAAUAAAACACUUAAUAAUAUAUUUUAUAUUUUUUCUUCUCAUUGGAGCAUGUGAGAAAUUUAUGACAAUGCGAAUUUUGAUAAUUUAAGGAAUGAAGGUUUUGCUGCAAAUUUAGAGAAUGAGUGCUUCUCUUUCUUCUCUAUCUCCAUUUUAAGGAAUGAGAUGGGGAAGCUGUUGGACCUAAAAACAGCUCUAUAUUCCCCAAAAUUGAGAAGUUCAAGAAAAUAGGGAAGCUGUUGGAAAUGCUCUUAAUUAACAAAAUUGUUAAUUCAGAUUACAAUUUUGUUAAUUUAGACCAUAAUCUUAAUGACUUUGUUGUCUGCAAAUAGAUCACUCUAUUCCAUUUUCUGUUUUAAUUUUGAUCUUCUAGAAAUUGGUGUUUUGUUACUAGUUCAGCAAUGAGAAUUAGAUCUUUUGUGCUCCAAAAUGACUUUGCUGCUCCGCAAAAAAAUUUAUUACUAGUUCAACAAUGAGAAUAUGAUCUUUUUUAUUUCUCUCUCAUUUAGUAAUUAUUAAUUUUAAUAAUUUAUUACUGCUAAAUUAAGGAAUGACGGUUUUGUCCUUAAAAUUUUAACAGAAAACACACAAGAUAACGGAAAACAUAACGACAUGUACAUAUUUUUGGUUGAGAUUAGAACAUGUACCUUUAUGAUUGUUUUGAAACUUGAAACACCAAAAUAAAGACCAUUUGUCAUGUACUCACUACCAAGACAAGCACUUUAGCCGUCGGCCUGUUAGCUUAAUUCAUCGGCUAAGAUUUCGUCGGGAAAAGGUCGUUGGCGAUGACUUUAGCCGACGAAAAAAAAAUUUCGACGGCUAUAGUCCCACAAUUUAGCCGACGAAAAACAUGUCGUCGGUUUUUUUCCUAGACUUUAGCCGACGAAAUAAUUAGGAUAUUCGUCGGCUAAACCUUAUAAAAAAAAUCAAAAAAAUAACUAUAGCCGAAGAAAUAUAGUAUAUUUCGUCGGCUAAACCUUAUAAAAAAAUAUAAAAAAUAACUAUAGCCGACGAAAUAUAGUCUAUUUCGUCGGCUAAACCUUAUAAAAAAAAUAACUAUAGCCGACGAAAUAUAGUCUACUUCGUCGGCUAAACCAUAUAAAAAAAUAAAAAAAUACUAUAGCCGACGAAUAUAGUAUUUAAAUAUCAUCAGCUAAAGUUGCUGGUUUUUGAAAAAAAAAACUGCAGAAACUUCCGGCCACCUCCAAUCACCACCAAAAUUUGACAGAAUCUUCCUCUCAACAUUUCGAACAACUUUCUAGAAGAAGUCGAAGCCCAAUUCUAAGCCUAAACAGGUCAAUUGAAUCAAACUAUAAAAAUCCCCAAUUUUAAACCCUAAAAACUUCAAAUCUUCGAUUCUCCUCACACACACCGAAUCGAGCUACCAAAUUCUAGGGGAAUGUAGUACUAAUCAAACUCAACUUAUCCAUAUAUAGAACUCACCAAAUGGUGACCUGAGAAAGGAGAAAUUCGAUCGACACCGAAUCCGAAUCGGCGGAGUUUUGGAGCUCGAUUUAUCCCUCACGGCGGCGGCAGAGCUAGGCCGAGAAGAAAAUCGGGCAGGCGAAAUAGACUUCUUACCAUCCACCUUCGGUAAAACUCCUAUAUAAAGAACUUUAGCCGACGAAAUUAUUUAUUUUCGUCGGCUAAACUCUUUUGAAAAUUUUGGUUGACCGCCAAAAAAAUUUGGUUGAAAAUUUUGAAAAUUUUUCGACUUUAGCUGACGAAAUCAUAUAUUUUCGUUGGCUAAAGUCCUUUGAAAAUUACCGCCCAAAAAUUUUUAACCUUAGCCGACGACUUUUUUAAUAUCUCGUCGGCUAAAGUCUAUAAAUUUACGAAAACGCUCAUAUCUCCCUCUAUAUUACGUAGUUUGGUCAAAC